UAAAUAUCUAAAUUUAAGUAUAUCAUUUACAAUGAUAAGAUGUUGUAAAACUUUAUUUAAGUUAAAAUUAUUAAUAUUAUAUAUAUAUAUAUA
rnacentral:tRNA from 1 species